UACAGGGGGGGCAAGCGUUGUUCGGAAUUACUGGGCGUAAAGGGUCUGUAGGUGGCCAACUAAGUCAGACGUGAAAUCCCUCAGCUUAACUGGGGAACUGCGUCUGAUACUGGAUGGCUUGAGUGUGGGAGAGGAAUGCGGAAUUCCACGUGUAGCAGUGAAAUGCGUAGAGAUGUGGAGGAAUACCGAUGGCGAAGGCAGCCCCCUGGGCCAAUACUGACGCUCAUGCACGAAAGCGUGGGGAGCAAACAGG
rnacentral:rRNA from 1 species